GACGAACGCUGGCGGCGUGCUUAACACAUGCAAGUCGAGCGAGAGCCAGCUGAGGGGUAACCCUCGGCUGGGGACAGCGGCGAACGGGUGCGUAACACGUGGGCAACCUGCCCCUGACACUGGGAUAACCCCGGGAAACCGGAGCUAAUACCGGAUACUCUCGGCCGAUCACAUGGCUGGCCGAGGAAAGGUCCGCCGGUCAGGGAUGGGCCCGCGGCCUAUCAGCUUGUUGGGGGGUAACGGCCUACCAAGGCGACGACGGGUAGCUGGUCUGAGAGGACGACCAGCCACACUGGAACUGAGAUACGGUCCAGACUCCUACGGGAGGCAGCAGUGGGGAAUAUUGCACAAUGGGCGAAAGCCUGACGCAGCGACGCCGCGUGAGGAUGACGGCCU
rnacentral:rRNA from 1 species